rnacentral:rRNA from 1 species
AUACGGAGGGUGCGAGCGUUAAUCGGAAUUACUGGGCGUAAAGCGUACGUAGGCGGUUAUUUAAGUCAGAUGUGAGAGCCCCGGGCUUAACUUGGGAACUGCAUUUGAAACUGGGUAACUAGAGUUUAGUAGAGGGGAGUGGAAUUUCAGGUGUAGCGGUGAAAUGCGUAGAGAUCUGAAGGAACACCAGUGGCGAAGGCGACUCCCUGGACUAAAACUGACGCUGAGGUACGAAAGCGUGGGGAGCAAACAGAAUUAGAAACCCCAGUAGUCC